AGGUAUCGUGUACACCGCGGCUUUCGCGCGCCGUCCGCACCCAGCCGAUGACCGCUCGCUAGGGUUUGGUCGCC
rfam:Xanthomonas fragariae strain PD5205 genome assembly, chromosome: 1